rnacentral:lncRNA from 1 species
GCGAAAAGCACCUGCCCCACCUUCGAAACCCUCCCUGACUGAGACCGAUGAAGGGAGCUCUGCGGCUGCUCAUGGCCUACCUUUGGAGGAUGGGAUUGUUCCAGACAGCAUUUCAGAAGUGAGCUCUCCUGAGGGUAUGUCCAGCCCAGAGGGCCCGGGGUUCCUAAGCCAGGAAGAGUGCUCUGUGCCCAAGCCAAUGGAUGAAAUCUCUGAGGGCCCUGGAACUCCAGAGGCAGCUGUAGCUUCCAUGACCUCUGGCGUAAGCUCGGAUUACAGUCUUGAAGAGAUAGAUGAAAAGGAAGAACUGAUGGAGGCGUCUAAAGAUCAGGCUGGAAGUGUGAAGUCGCCUACCAUUGCUUCAGCAUCUACGGAUAUGAUAAUUACAGCGGAGAAUGAUCCUGAUUCAGCCCUCAGCAUCAGUGAUGGAGAGACCUCUCCAGGCUCUAAG